rnacentral:rRNA from 1 species
GAUGAACGCUGGCGGCGUGCCUAACACAUGCAAGUCGAGCGAUCUUCUUCGGAAGAGAGCGGCGGACGGGUGAGUAACGCGUGGGUAACCUGCCCUGUACACACGGAUAACAUACCGAAAGGUAUGCUAAUACGAGAUAAUAUGCUCUUAUCGCAUGGUAGAAGUAUCAAAAGCUUUUGCGGUACAGGAUGGACCCGCGUCUGAUUAGCUGGUUGGUAAGGUAACGGCUUACCAAGGCGACGAUCAGUAGCCGACCUGAGAGGGUGAUCGGCCACAUUGGAACUGAGACACGGUCCAAACUCCUACGGGAGGCAGCAGUGGGGAAUAUUGCACAAUGGGCGAAAGCCUGAUGCAGCAACGCCGCGUGAGCGAUGAAGGCCU